AUUGAACGCUGGCGGCAGGCUUAACACAUGCAAGUCGAGCGGGGUGAUGGUGCUUGCACUAUCACUUAGCGGCGGACGGGUGAGUAAUGCUUAGGAAUCUGCCUAUUAGUGGGGGACAACAUCGCGAAAGGGAUGCUAAUACCGCAUACGUCCUACGGGAGAAAGCAGGGGAUCACUUGUGACCUUGCGCUAAUAGAUGAGCCUAAGUCGGAUGAGCUAGUUGGUGGGGUAAAGGCCUACCAAGGCGACGAUCUGUAGCGGGUCUGAGAGGAUGAUCCGCCACACUGGGACUGAGACACGGCCCAGACUCCUACGGGAGGCAGCAGUGGGGAAUAUUGGACAAUGGGGGGAACCCUGAUCCAGCCAUGCCGCGUGUGUGAAGAAGGCCUUAUGGUUGUAAAGCACUUUAAGCGAGGAGGAGGCUCUUUUGGUUAAUACCCAAGAUGAGUGGACGUUACUCGCAGAAUAAGCACCGGCUAACUCUGUGCCAGCAGCCGCCGUAA
rnacentral:rRNA from 1 species